GCAACUUUAGUUUAUUUAGAAUUAUAGUUUGUCUUGCUGUUGGAGGUGUUUACCAAGUUGCU
rnacentral:tRNA from 1 species